rnacentral:rRNA from 1 species
ACGAACGCUGGCGGCAGGCUUAACACAUGCAAGUCGAGCGAACCCUUCGGGGUUAGCGGCGGACGGGUGAGUAACGCGUGGGAACGUGCCCUUUUCUACGGAAUAGCCUCGGGAAACUGAGAGUAAUACCGUAUACGCCCUUUUGGGGAAAGAUUUAUCGGAGAAGGAUCGGCCCGCGUUGGAUUAGGUAGUUGGUGGGGUAAUGGCCUACCAAGCCGACGAUCCAUAGCUGGUUUGAGAGGAUGAUCAGCCACACUGGGACUGAGACACGGCCCAGACUCCUACGGGAGGCAGCAGUGGGGAAUCUUAGACAAUGGGGGCAACCCUGAUCUAGCCAUGCCGCGUGAGUGAUGAAGGCCUUAGGGUUGUAAAGCUCUUUCAGCUGGGAAGAUAAUGACGGUACCAGCAGAAGAAGCCCCGGCUAACUCCGU